UACGAAGGGGGCUAGCGUUGCUCGGAAUUACUGGGCGUAAAGCGCACGUAGGCGGUUUCUUAAGUCGGGGGUGAAAUCCUGGAGCUCAACUCCAGAACUGCCUUCGAUACUGGGAGUCUUGAGUUCGGGAGAGGUGAGUGGAACUGCGAGUGUAGAGGUGAAAUUCGUAGAUAUUCGCAAGAACACCAGUGGCGAAGGCGGGUCUCUGGGCAACUACUGACGCUGAGGAGCGAAAGCGUGGGGAGCGAACAGG
rnacentral:rRNA from 1 species